CUUUUUUUUUGUAUCAAAAUGGCCGGUUUAUGAUUUGCACGUUUCUUGGUCCGUUUUUUCUAUUCCGGGGCCGGUUUUGCUUCGAUUUUUCCACCGUAUACCGUGUAGUCGAAAAGAGUCAACGAGAUUAAAGUAUUAAAAAAUAAAUUAAUUAAAGAUCCAGGCAUGUCAUCAAUCAAUAGCGUAGAUAUCGACAAAACAAAUAAGGAAAUUGAUGUGGGGGGCGAUCAAGGCCAAGGGGCACAAGACGUGCAAAGAGAUACUGAUACAAAAUCUCCGGAAAUGUUGAUGGACGAAGUUAGAGAAGAGGUAACGAAAUUGAAUAUAUCUGGUGAGGAGCCCCAAACUGUUACACAGCCUCCAGUUACACCCUCUAAAGUCGAAGUAAAGCAGCAAAGUGACUCUUUGCGGAACCUCUUGGUAUAUGAUGGAGAUAGUGAUAGCGAUAGUGAGAGUGACUCUCAAGAUGAAGGCCAUAAGGAUACACCAGAAAAAAAAGAAAGUAACUUAAGUAAACAUAUUAAAGAACCAGAAUGGAGAGAGGAAUAUUCAGGUUCUAGUGAUUCAGAGACUGAUUCAUCAGCCAGUACUCUUUCGUCUGACUCUGGGUCAGAUUCGGAUUCUGCUUCUGUGAUAUCUGACAGUGAUGAUAGAAUAAAAGCUGCUGAUUGUUCACCACUAAAUGCAAGCACUAAAAAAGGAGCAGUUAAGAAAACCAAUAAGUCCUCAGAAAGAGAAACUGACCUCCCACCAAUUCCGGAUUUAAGUAACCUAAAUAUAAGUUCUGUUGAAGAAUUUAUGCAUAUUGGAGGUGUUACUUCUGUAAUUGGCAAUAUAGUUACUAUUGAGACAAUACGUGGUAUGCCAGCAUUUGAUUUAGAUUCUAUGCUUUUCAUAGAUUACCAAUCCACAAAGAAGCCUUUAGGUCCCAUUGAUGAUGUUAUAGGGCCAGUUUCAGAGCCCAUGUAUUGCGUCAGAUUUAACAACGAAGAUGAAAUAAAAAAGCUUGAUGUUAAAUUUGGAACUAAAGUCUAUGCAGCGCCUAAGAGUGAAGCAUUUACAAAGUUUGUUUUUCUUAAGGAGCUUAUGAAGAUAAAAGGAUCCGACGCGUCUUGGUUAAACGAUCAAGAACAACCGAUUGAAUUGGCGGAAUUUUCGGAUGACGAAAUGGAACGACAAGCAAGGAAACCGACGAAAACCCACUCGAAACGGAAACUGGAUGACAGCAGCCUGGAGAGGCACCAAAAAUACGAGAGAACCAUGAAUCACUGCAACAAUUUGAACACGCGGGUGUGCAAGUUAGCAGAUGCACAGAAAAAUCUAUCGAAACAAAUCAGAACUAACCACCAUCGAAGCGAUUUCCAAGAACCUGUACCACCAGCACCAUUCAGUCUUGAACCUCCCACGUGGAUACCGCCGGAAUUUAAUCCGACAGUACCUCCUCCGAUGCUUGGACAUCCGACGCCCUACGGUUGGCCCGUCGCCGCACCGGCAGCUACACAUCCCAACACUUUUAGUGUCGGCGGUCAAGAAAAAUAUGCUUUUGCACCGAUGCCCCUUCAAAAUCUCUCGUACUUCCGAAGAAAUUUAUAUGCCAAUCCGUGCAUCAACCAGACGGUCGAGACACCCACCGCUGGAACACAAUUAGCUUUCUGAACAAUGUUUUCUAUAUAAACGUCGAAGAGCAGUCUGGAAUCCAACGUCACACCUAAUCCUUAAUAAACUCCACAUACUUCAGGAUAGUGCCCCCGAGAUAGACUCACAUUUGUUUUGUGUCUGAGAUAGUUUUCUGCUAAAAAGUAUAGAAUGACAUUUUUCUGGAUUAAUAAAUAAUUUAUUUAAGGUCAUCUGCAUAUGCAAGAUAUCUACAGGUAGAGAAACAUUGACCAAUGUCAUUUAAAAAAAUUGAUAACAAAAUCGGUCCCAAAUGAGAACCUUGCGGUACUCCUGAAGUUACGGUUGUACAAGAAGACUUUACUCCAUUUACGACAACGUACUGAGAGCGAUUUGUUAGAUAACUUUUAAUGAGUUUGAGCAGGACCCUGUGCACACCGAAAUUCUCCAACUUCACGAAAAGUGUAGGAUGAUGUACCUUAUCAAAAGCCUUGGAAAAGUCAGUGUACACGGCACAAGUUUCCAGACCACUAUCCAUACUUUCGUAUAUACUCUGAAUAAAUGGUAUUAAUAAUUAAUAAAUUAUUAUAUUAACUAAAUAAAUGGUUUUUAUUAUUUUAUAAUAUUAGAAUUAAUUAAUUUUGUCUGAGUUCAAAACUAUUAAGUAUUAAUUUUCAAUCAAGUCAAGACAUCGUUAUUUUUUAUCUGAAUUUAAAAAGCAAAACACUUUGACUUUAAAACUAGGAGGGCUCAGGGUAGCAUCGGAAAAAUAAUAUAUGUUUCUUUGGAAAAAUUAUGCCACAGCUAGGGAAAAGGAAAAUCAUUAAUUCUGGAAUUACUAAUGCAGAAAAAGCAAAAAGCAAAAAUGAAAUUAGGUCAUUUGUAACAGGUAUGAGUCUCACUAUAUUCUUAUACUCAGUAGAUUAUGAUCGCCACAUGCCAGUACUCGCAUUUGCUUUCACAGAACCGAGACAUCGCUCACAGUGUAAUUGAUUUAAUUAAUUGAAAAACAUUUGGCUUUCAUUAUCACAGCUCAUAGUUCGACAGUAAAUAUUUAACAUGUCUUACACUAUUUUUCAUUUAUGUGUGACAUAAAUUGUUACAUAAAUAAAUGAAUAAAAAUAUAAGAAUAAUAAGAAACAGCCUGCACAGAAUUAUUGCAAUAAAUUUAUUUUGUUUAACAACACAAACUGAUAUUCAUAACAAAUAGUUCAUUAUUAAUCGCUUUCGUUAUCGGAACUUAAAUCAUUCGUUGAACAGUUUGAUUCUAUAACUUCUCCGUUGCUACCAGAUUAUCGUCCAUGGUCGUAAAAUUAUCUAGUUCAGGAAGAUAUUUUUCUACAGUAGUUACGUUUUGGCAGUGAUUUUGCAACCAAUAUCUUAGCGGAAUAUCCCAGUCAUCAUCAUCAUCAACACUUUUAUAUUUCUCGUACCACUGAUUCAGAGGCAAGUCAUCAUCUGAAUCAAACUCCUCCAUCGAUUUCACUAGACCAGCAUGUCGAAAGCAGUUUUGAAUCGUUUUUUGUGAAACCUCAUUCCAAGAUUUCGCAAUAAUUUUUAUCGAGUCUAGAAUUGUUAGAUUGAACGUUUCCUCACUAUCCAAUGCUUGAAUUAGGCGAUACAUAAAAUAUCUACGGUAAUAGGUUUUCAGGCAUUUUAUUAUGCCUUGAUCCAAUCUGAUAUUUGUCAGAUCUACAUUCUUUGGAUGAGCUGCACAAUUGUCCACUAGAAGCAAUAUUUUUCUUUUUUGACGUCUUAGUUUUUCAUCCUACUCUUUCAAAUAAUUAAUAAAAAUGUCUGAAGUCAUCCAUGCGCGUCUAUUCGAUUUAUAAAUAACAGGCAGGUUUUUAAUAUUUUCCAUGCACCUCGGUCGUUCAUAUUUACCAAUGACAAGAAGUUUACAUUUUUCACUACCUGUCAUAUUUGCACAAACCCAAACGGUGUAUCUUAGCUUUGAUUGCUUGCCUCCCACACACUUUUCUACUUUUCUAAAUUUCAGUCUACGGUCUGGAGUCAUCUUGUAAAAUAGUCCGGUCUCAUCCCCAUUAAAAAUAUCUUCACAGCUGUAAUUUUGUGCAAUACCUGGCCAUUUCUCGGUUAACCAGUUUACCACAGCUUCCCUGCUAACAUCUCCUGCUUUAGUGGACACUUUGCCGACAUUGAUGUUGUGACGAACUUUAAAACGCUCGAGCCAAUCCGUAGAGUACUUAAAAUCUCCACCGUGUAAUCCCUUAGAUAAAUCUUCCGCUUUUGCCUUUAAAAGUGGUCUACUUAUAGGAAUAUUUUCGGUUCUUCUCACCUCAAACCAUCGAAUAAGAGCUUGAUCCACAUCUGGGCGUACGGGAUUCCUAAUUUUCUUAAUUCUUUGCGAUUUAUUUUCACUUGCUUGUUUGAUUUUUUCACGAUUGCUCCAAAUUGUAGAAACUGUUGUUUUUGCCAUAUUUUUCCUUCUCGCAAUUUCCCAUUUGUUAAUGCCACUUUCAAUACUUUUAUUGAUGUCUAUUUUUUCUUUCAAAUUUAUAGCUCUGUGCUUAUCCGUUAUUUUACCAAAAAAACUACUAAAACUCGCACUCUAUUGUGAGUUUACUAGUGAACUUCACGCAAUGUCCAAUCUAAAACUACCGGUCAUCUCAUUUUGCCUGUUUUAUAAAAUUUCUCAGAGUCGAGAACUGAACAUCCCCGGCGGCCUCGGUACCAACGCGCGACCACAGAGAAACUUCUCAGUAUCGAUUAAUGGAAAUCCCCGACAGAGGUGGAAAAUUACUCUGCUUAUAACGUACCUUUGUACGUUACAACCGGAAAAUUACUGUCAAUCGGGCAAAAAUAUUGAACGUUAUAGCCGGAGUUAAAAUUUUAGUUAGUACGUUAUAUCCAGUAAAAUGACAAGACUGUUUGGGCGGGUUCCGAAUUAUAAGUACGUAAUAACGGGAAGUACACUGUAUAUAAUUUUAUGUUGUUAAUUUAUCCCUAAAAUCCAUUCAUUUUUUGUAAUAUAGAUCCUAUACCUAUACCCUUUACUUUUUAACACAUGAUAACUUUUGUGUAAUUUAAGUAUAAAAAGCCGAUUAUUUAAUCCAUUAUUUUUAAGCAUUAAGAUUUGUAUUAAAUAAUAAUGAAGAAUAAUAAAAAAUACUAU
rnacentral:misc_RNA from 1 species